GUGACCUUCUAUGGAAGGAAGCCCUGCAGAGAAGCAGCCUGGGAAAUGUUCACCUCUCUUCUCUUCGGUCCCCUUCCAUGGCUCCCCACUGGUCAGACCGACAGAAGUCAGAAGGAGUCAGGGCCUGUGAUGGGGUCCAGGCUGGUCAGCUUCCUUGGGCAGGAACAGGGUGAAGACAGAGUGGAUCUGAGAGGGGAGUGGAGGAGACCCAGCCGGCCCUCCAUCACAGCUGGUCUCCACUCGAGCAUUCCAGGAAUGUCAGGUGGAUGGGAUCUGGCCCGGAGCUGACAUUUUAUUCGGGCAACCUAUGGGAGAUGGAUUUGCCAGUGGUCGGGAGACACCACAUCAUCCGGCCCCAGCUCUGACUCCGCUCACGCCUUGGAAUGUCUUUAGUCAUUUAAAUUCAUUUGCCUGGAACUGGCAUUGUUUCUCCAGUAAGAUGGCAAAUAACAAACUUCAUUUAGUCUUG
ensembl:lncRNA novel transcript